UGAAAAUAUAAUAAUAAAAAUUAAGGUAGUAAUAGUUAUGAACUUGAAACUUAAAAAAUUUGGCGGUAUUUUAGUCUAUUCAGAGGAAUUUGUUUUAUAAUCGAUAAUCCACGAUGGACCUUACUUAAAUUAGUUAUCAGUUUAUAUACCGUUGUUAUAAAAAAAUUUUAAUAGAAUAUUAAUUUUUAUAAUUUUUAAAAAAAAAUUAUAUCAGAUCAAGGUGUAGCUUAUAUUUAAGUAAAAAUGAAUUACAAUAAAUUUAUUUAAAUGGAUAUAAAUUUGUAAUAUUUAUUGAAGGUGGAUUUGAUAGUAAAAUUAUAUAGACUAAUAAUUUGAUUUUAGCUCUAAAAUAUGC
rnacentral:rRNA from 1 species